UACGAGGGGGGCGAGCGUUGUUCGGAAUUAUUGGGCGUAAAGGGUGCGUAGGCGGUUCCGCAAGUCCUGUGUGAAACGUCUUCGGGCUCAACUCGAAGUUCUGCACGGGAAACUGCGGGGCUUGAGUGUGGGAGAGGUGAGUGGAAUUCCCGGUGUAGCGGUGAAAUGCGUAGAUAUCAGGAGGAACACCGGUGGUGUAGACGGCUUUCUGGACCGUAACUGACGCUGAGACACGGAAAGCGUGGGUAGCAAACAGG
rnacentral:rRNA from 1 species